UACGAAGGGGGCGAGCGUUUAUUCGGAAUCACUGGGCGUAAAGCGUGCGUAGGCGGUUUUGUAAGUUGGAAGUGAAAGCCCAGGGCUCAACCCUGGAAUUGCUUUCAAAACUACAAGACUUGAAUUCGGGAGAGGAUAGCGGAAUUGUCAGUGUAGCAGUGAAAUGCGUAGAUAUUGACAGGAACACCAGUGGCGUAAGCGGCUAUCUGGACCGACAUUGACGCUGAGGCACGAAAGCGUGGGGAUCAAACAGG
rnacentral:rRNA from 1 species